rnacentral:rRNA from 1 species
GAUGAACGCUAGCGGCAGGCUUAAUACAUGCAAGUCGAGGGACAGCACAGGUAGCAAUACUGGGUGGUAACCGGCAAACGGGUGCGGAACACGUACACAACCUUCCUUUAAGUGGGGGAUAGCCCAGAGAAAUUUGGAUUAAUACCCCGUAAUAUAGUUGAAUGGCAUCAUUUGAUUAUUAUAGCUACGGCGCUUAAUGAUGGGUGUGCGGCUGAUUAGAUAGUUGGCGGGGUAACGGCCCACCAAGUCUACGAUCAGUAGCUGAUGUGAGAGCAUGAUCAGCCACACGGGCACUGAGACACGGGCCCGACUCCUACGGGAGGCAGCAGUAAGGAAUAUUGGUCAAUGGACGCAUGUCUGAACCAGCCAUGCCGCGUGAAGGAUUAAGGUCCUCUGGAUUGUAAACUUCUUUUAUUUGGGACGAAAAAGGGCCUUUUUAGGUCAACUGACGGUACCAGAUGAAUAAGCACCGGCUAACUCCGUGCCAGCCGCCGCGGUAACAC